UGUGAAGCCUGGUUUAGGUUAACCCUGAGU
rnacentral:piRNA from 1 species